rnacentral:rRNA from 1 species
CCUACGGGGGGCAGCAGUGGGGAAUAUUGCGCAAUGGGCGAAAGCCUGACGCAGCGACGCCGCGUGAGGGAUGAAGGUCUUCGGAUCGUAAACCUCUGUCAGCAGGGAAGAACGGUCACUGUGCUAAUCAGCAGUGAAUUGACGGUACCUGCAAAGGAAGCACCGGCUAACUCCGUGCCAGCAGCCGCGGUAAUACGGAGGGUGCGAGCGUUAAUCGGAAUUACUGGGCGUAAGGCGCUCGUAGGCGGUAUGUCAAGUCAAGGGUGAAAUCCCCGCGCUCAACGUGGGAACUGCCUUUGAAACUGGCAAACUGGGGUGUGUGAGAGGAUAGUGGAAUUCCAGGUGUAGGAGUGAAAUCCGUAGAUAUCUGGAGGAACAUCAGUGGCGAAGGCGACUAUCUGGCACAUAACUGACGCUCAUGCACGAAAGCGUGGGUAUCGAACAGGAUUAGAUACCCCUGUAGUC